AAAAGGACUUAAAAAAUAGGAAUCCUGGAAAAUCUACUGUGAAAAAAUGACUAUUUAUAAGGUAUCUUCUUAUCAUAUAGGCAGGGGACACCCCUUCAGCUGUGACACAUCCUCUUCCCUCCCACAGGACUCACACCCCAGGAACUGAGUGUUGUGCCAGUAUUGGUCCCAGGCGCUGAGGGACGGUCCCCAGCGGUGGCUGCACCCGCAGGGCUGUGCAACAGCUGUAUAAUGGAAUGGUGGCAGCAUGGAGCAGGGAGGUGAUGUGGAACAACACAACAGCACAGAACAAAAUUUCUUGGAGCACGGUGUUUCAGCUCUUCCGGAUUCUUCCUCACCAUCCCCUGCUCUUUUCUGCUGGACUCUGAGUCAAGACACCAAUCCUUCUGCCUUUGCAGAACAAACGCUCCCCAAAAUGCUGCGUGGGUGAGAUGACUGCAGUUUCCUGUUGUGUUUCUUGGACAGAACCUGCAAGAAAUCACACCUGGGCUUGGAAAUCCAUUGAUCUUCAGCACCUUCCUGUGGUGAUUUUGCAGUGAUCUUUUGGGUCUGGCGGAGGGGAUAGAUAGAGCCGUUCAUGUCUCAUAGCUUCCCUGCCUGCUAUCAACCUUCUUGUUGUAAGAACUGAUACCUCCCCUUCCCAAAUCCCUCUAAGCUGCACAAAGACUGAUGAAGCAACAUUAAGAGAAAUAACUUCUCCAUCUGCACUAGGAAUGGUAUUGUAUCUAUGAUGAUCCGCAGAGAGAAAAGAGGCAAGAGUUGUAAGAGGUGAUAUAUAUAUAUAUAUAUAUAUAUAUUAUGAAAUAGAAAAACACAGCUGAGCUUUGUGAACACAAAACUUUCCUUGUGAUCUCUAUGUAUGAUUAUCUGCUUUGUCAUCUAAAUGUGCAAACACCAUAAUGCUUUAAAAUUUAACCAAAAUAAUUCGAAGCCUUAUCUAAGGGGACUGCAUUUGAAAGCAGUGAAAACGUUAAUGCUAACAAUAUUUUUUUUUGUUCUCUAAAUUCCUCUCCUUAAUUUAAUACAAUACACUGCUGUUUUAAAGGGAUAUUAAUAUUCUUUUCAAAGUGUUUGGGACUUUUACAUAAUUUAAAAAAUAUUUGCAGCUGUUUUGAAUGUAUCUGCAAGUACUGAUAGACAAAAGGCAUGGAUAUCCAUAAGAACGUUGUCAUAAUACAUUCCAUAUUAACGUAAGCAAAAAAGAAUGUUUGUUCAGGAAUACCAAAAAAGGUGAUUGGAAGACCUACUUCUAUGGCCUUAACAUCUUCCUGCUAAAAAAGUUACACUCCUUAUGUUUUGCUGUGUUCUUACUUAAUUGGUUACUUACAUCUGCCUUUUAGAAUUAGCAGCUUUUUUGCAUUUGGAUCAUCCAUAGAGCUGAGCUUGGGCCAUUUGUUUUAGAUUUCCAGAAAUGAUUUAUUUGUACUGUAAUGGGAUGGAAUCAUACAGUGUUUCCCAUUUGUUUUCGGACUUAGUUCAGAGUAUAGUUUAAGCUCUUAUGAGUGCUGAUUCCACUCUCAUGUCCAAGGCCCACAAAUCUUUUCUUUCAUGCUGUUUGCACCUCUCUCUCACUGCAUAAAAAUUGAGGUCCCGAGGUCAAUAUUACAUUAGGGAAAAAGGGGAGAGAUUAUCACAGAGACUGAAAAAUUUUGCUCCUGGCUAAAUCACUAAGGAUUGGGGGUGUGUGUGUGUAAGUAAUGUGGUAAAGAACAGGGCAAAACACUUCUCAAGUAAACGUAUUUUCUCCUUCAUCCCUUGAGUUACUUUAGAAGUCAUGAUGGAGGAUAGGAUCUUAUUUAGGCUGUGUGUUACGUAUUGGUACAGCAGGAGAAUCUCUUUGGAAGGGAAUACCCAUUAAAAUAACUUUAUUUUCCUUUGUUUCCAGUCAUUGGGAUGCUGUACAGAUGUAGAAGAUACCAGCCAUUUCCUAUAAUAUCUGAAAAUUGCAGAAACCUAGAAAGUAGGGAGCAUGGGACCUCAUGGAGCUGUCUUGUCAACUCCUCUUACCACAGUAGGAUUGACUAUAAAAAGAGACUUCUGUUCCUUUUUAUCUUCUGUUCUUCCAGCCUUUAAGUUUAAGAAAAACCCACACCACCAACAAACCAACAACCAAUAAUGCUGGGAAAACAAGGGAAGCAGCAAUUUGUUAUGACAUACUGGGAAGUUGCUUAGAGCCAUGUUUGAGGACACUUUGGCGUCCACGGUGCUUUAUGGCAAUUUCGAUCAGUUGCUGCACUGAUCUGUGCUUAUAAUGAAUGGACUGUCCCUCGUGCCGUGAUAAUAGAACAUGAGAGUAUAAAAACUUUGAAGUGCAGGAGGCAGCUGAAAAGAAAACAAUAAACUAUGUAUAUGAGACUAGCUUGUUGCUUGGUGAUUAAGAGAUGAGGACCCCGUAGGUCAGCUCCCCAUAGGUACAAACAGAUGUUUGCACUGUUUCACAGCUGCUAAAUAUGAUAUAAAUCCAAAGAAUUUCUCAUGUUUUUAUAAAGUAAAAAAAAAAAAUACCCAGACAGCAAAUUUUUGGUCAUUCAGAUACUCUUACCAAAUGACAUCUGGUUUCUGUACUGCUUAUUUAAGCAAUCCUUAAAAAAAUGUUUGCCAAGGGGAAUAACUCAAACCUUUUAGUUCUUCACCAUAUAUAACUGUACAGUUUAGAUUACAAUGUAGCAUGCAGAGUUUAUUAUAAGCAAUGCAGUUCUUAAUUUCUUAGCUAGCGAGUAUUACUUUAAAGAAAAUAGGAUAAAUAUUAUGUAAUUAGUUCAGGGAAAUUCAUGUAUAGUUACAUUUCAGAGUACCCUAGUUUCAGAUCCAAACGAUGACAAAGAAAAUGAAUUGUUUCCAUAUGUUAGGAGAUAGCAUGACAGUUAUGAGCAGAGAGUUAAGGCACAAAAAUGCAACAGGGCUCCCAUCAAAUGGGCAGAAACAAAAGCAGUAAGUGGAGAAUUCUGAGGUGAAGGUGCUCUGAAGGCGUCGUAGCUGCUGUCAGGACCAAAACAGAGGGAGAGAUGGGUUGUUUCACAAGCAGGAGAUCAACAGGUCUUGUGCUUUGAUUUGCUGAUGUCUAGUGAGAUGUGAGUUUGGACUGAAGCUGUAGCUUUGUGCAUGUCUACUUGGGCACUCCUGGGGUCCUUCUGGAUUCUCUGAGGUCUAAGAAAGUGUUGUGUCUAUGCUGAUGCCAUUCCUUCAAGGCAUGGAUCUGCCACUUCGACCUGGCCACCUCCUAUCACAAAGCGUAUGGGAACUUAGUACCCUCAAGGUCUCUAUCUCUGUGCUAAAAUUGGUUGAAACUGGCUAAUGGGCUCAAAAAUUAUUUUCCUUGGGACUGAGAGGGGACAGACAGACUCACUCGUAGGGAACAUAAUUGCCUGCAUCUCAUGUCUGUUGGAAACUAAGAUAAAAAUCUCAGCAUUAAGCUUAUCAUAUAAAUUAUAUAUGCGUGUAUAUUACAGAGAAAGAUUUAUUGCCUUCAAUAUCUAGGCAUUUUAUGCUUUUGAAGUAAUGCAUACUUUGAUCCAACAAAUACUUACACUUGCAAGUCACCCAGUGUACUGCGGGUUCAAUAAGACUGCUUUCUUUGAGCAAAGAUAAAUCCCAAAGAACUGAAGGACUGUAACUAGCAUGUGAUCUAUGUGUUUUCUCUAUGACUUUUCUGCCUUUUGUACUUUAUUAUUUCAAAGGAUUAGGUCUUUAAAGGGUGCAUUGCCCAUUAGGACCUUUGAGUGUUGAUCGUUGCCCUAUUCAAUGUCUCCGACUGUGUGACUCAGUGACUUCCACCCUUUUUGAAUUGGUGGAUACGCAACUUUUUCCAGUUAUUUUUAAUCUAAUGAGUAUGCUUGUCUUCAUUUCUUUUCACAGGCCUGCCUGUUAGUCUGCAGAUGGAAAUUUGCACGUCCACAUUGUCCAUAAUAUUAAGUUUCUCUGUAUCUGUGGUCUUUCUUGAGGUGCCUGGUAAUCAACAGCUUUCUUCUGUCUCUUUGUCAAGCAAUUCUAAUGUAACAAUUAUAAUGAAUCACCCAUUUUGUAUAUAUCUCAAUGACUUGUUGGGCUUAUUUUCACAUGAAUACACACAUCCCACAGUACUGCUUGGUAGCUAGGAGCAAAAUGUGGUCGUAUGUUCUGCAGCAGUAAUGACAUGAUUGCAUUUUUGUCUGUAUUUUUUCGCUGGUCUUGAUUUGGUUUAUUGCCACCAUUGUGAGAUGCACUGGACUAAUUGCCCAUCGGAUGACAGGGAAACAUGCAAGUCCUUGAAAGUGGAAGCAGGCUUAUACAUAUGAGAAUGGAGCAAACAGUGAGUUUAUUCUCCUUUGUAAGCUCCUGCAAAAGAACAUGCUCCUUUACAAACCUUCUUUUGGGGCUGGAGCUAUUUAUUUUGUUCCACACUUGAGUGACACAGUGGGAUCCUCCUCUCCUGCUUCAGGGCAGAAAAGCCGAACACUGCUGCAGUGCAAGUAUUGCUGCCAUUGUAAUUAGUGUAAUAACAACAAUUGUGGUAAAAAUUGUAAGAAAUAUUAAUAGUGGGACCCUGGUUUAAUUAUGAUGGUCCUUGUGCAUGUGCUGGCUUUACCCAUCCCUUUUCUGAAGCUCUUGCAGCUUGCCUUCAUUUUAUUGCCAGCCUUAUCAGAUCAAGCAUUGCCCAAACUGGUACAUUUGCAGGGUAUUUUCCUGUCAAGCAAACAAAAAACCACCAGUGGUUAAUUUGUAUUAUUCCUCUCCGCUCUUUCUCUAGCCAAAAUAUGGAUUUGCUUCUCUUGACGCAGUCCCACAACUUCCUGUUUAGUAGGAAACUUCAUUAACUUGUUGGCUCCGUCAGUCUUGAAGGUCUUGCUUUUAUUAGGAAGAAAAUUGUUUGUUCUGCUUGCACCAGAUUUCACUGGGAAGAAUUGUUCACAGUCAGGUGUUUCAGAUGCAUCUUUUAACUUGAUUUAGCUAAGAGCAAACUACCACGGUGUUACCAAGCUGAGAUAAACUCCAUUUGCAACUGGAUGUGGUCUCUUCUGGGGGCAUCAGGUUUGCUCUACUUUCUAGAAAGACAUAAGCCUGUUGCAAUAAGUGAAGACUGAGGGUUUUUUGGUCUUACUUAAAUAAUCAAACUAAUUCUAGCAGGUGGAGAGAAAUGAAUCUCGCGGUUGUGUCUUGGCCUCUGCUGACCCUGUGGAGCUCCAGCCAAGGGCCUGGAGGGUUUUGACCAUUUUGUUUUCACUCUUAGUUUUCUUUUUUGCCUGGUGUGUAGUGAUGUGCUCUGGCGAGGGGCUGGGGAUACUGACAGCAUUUGGCACAGAUGAGGAAACCAGUAGCUUCACAACUCCUGAGAGCAGGUCUGGUUCCCCAGGCUUCAGACCAGAAACACUUGACAGAGCAACUAUUUCUAGGUUUGGUAGGUCUUGAGAACACUUUACCUUAAAGUCACAUUGUCAUCAUGUAAGAAAAAAAGCUGUUUUUUAAAGAGUUGCUGGAAGGCUCUGAUUAAUUUUUUUUCACUCUUUGGGUGUUGGGGUGUGCUAGACUUCUGGUAUUAUACAAAAAAACCCACAAAAGUGGGAGAGUAGGCUUUUCAGUGAGGCUUACAUCCAUGUGUAAUAACAAAGUCUAUAAGAACUUCAUAAAUUAUUGAAAUAUUUUUCUUCCUGAGGAAAUGCAGCAUAUUUGUGAUGAGGCAAUGUGCUACUGUGCAUUCAAUUGUGUAUUCUUUGUAACUCCUGGACAUCCACAGGUAAGUACCAUUUCUGUAAACAUUAUAGGAAGGUCUAAAACUUUUAAAAUAAUAUCAGGCAGAGGUAUUAUUUUAUGAGUGACCUUUUACACUGAUAUGCUGAUGUUUCCAAAUAUUUCUGUAAGGAUAAACAUCACUGAAUAGAUCAGUGCUAAGUAAAUAAAUGUUACAGCAAGUGAGGAAUACCCGGACUGGGUGUACUCCAGCAGUUUGGGUUCUUGGGACAAACUAUGUUACAGAUCUUCUCAAAACCAAGGAAUGACAGACAUUAACUACAAACUAUCUUUUCUUAAUCACCAUCACAGUAAACUGAAAAGCUGGAGAGGGGAACAUCCCAGGCUCUUCUGGGUAGGAACAUCACCAGUACUUGUCAAGAAGUGUACUCUCACUGAUGCUCUGUGGUCAGGCUACCCUACGAUGUAAACAUUUAAUGUGAUGGAAUAUGUCUGCUGGCUGCUGACUGAGUUUGACAUUUUUGCUUAAUUCGCCAUAGCUGUGUGAGGGGAGUGCACACUUCAGACAAAUUCCACUGUUGUUGUUAUUGCUCUGCACAGUUGCAGAGGCAACACUUCUAAUUAAGGACUAUCUCCAUGUUUGGCUUGGCAGCCAAAAUAAACUUCUAGGACUUGCACGCUGGAUAGCUUUUAUCUAUGCUGGGGUGGUGGGCUGGCUUUGCAGCAAGUGCAACUACAAAUGCACAUGGAGACCAAAGACAUAAACGUUUUAGUGGGGUGGUGUUCAGCGUCCCAGGGGAAAGCCCCAUCCAGUGAGUUUUUUUGUAUACAUGACUCUCCAGUAAUAUUGAGGGGAAAAAGGUUUCAACUCAAGGAAAGGUCGAGAGCUGGGGUGUGUAAGAGCACGGGGAAGAUGAGGGUAUUUGUGGAGGAGUGACACUGGUGCUGUUUAGCCUGGAGAAAAGGAGGCUGAGGGGAGACCUGAUCACUGUCUAUAACUACAUGAAAGGAAGUUGUAGCAUAGAGGGUAUUGGUCUCUUCUCCCAAGUAACAAGUCAUAGGAUGAAAGGAAAUGGCCUCAAGUUGUGCCAGGGAAGGUUCAGAUUGCAUAUUAGGAAAAAAUUAUUCGUUAAAGGACUGGCAGGCAUUGGAACAGGCUGCCCAGGGAAGUGGUGGAGUCACCAUACCUGGAGGGGCUUAAAAGACACAUAGAUGAGGUUCUUAGGGACAUGGUUUAGUGCCAGAGUUAGGUUAUGUUUGGACUCGAUGAUCUUGAGGGUCUCUUCCAACCAAAAUGGUAAAAUGAUUCUAUGAUUCUAUGACAUGUAGAGAUCUUUUGGGGUCUUGUGACCAAAAGGAACAGGCCAGCUUGUUUCAGGAUGUCUCAUCUCAGCUUGACCAAAAUGAUGCUCAACAGAGGCAUGGAGGAGGCCCACAUUGCUGGCCAUGGUGCACACUACCCAUCUUUAGCCACUGGUUUCUGUACCAUGACUUGUAGGAGAAUGGGUUUUCAAAAGUGCCUCAGAGAAAGCUAUCAAUGUGGCUCCGAAAACAAGUACCAGAGUUUUUCUUCUACACCUGCCUUGAUUUUUGCUAGCCCAUUGAGUUAGGCAGGAAGGGAAACACAAGCGUUCAUUGGAUGGAAGAAUCUUACAUAGCAAGAGAGGAAAAUGUAGCUUUGGAUCAUGAAAAUGAAGACCAACAUGGCUCCUGGGCCUCCUGGCUCCCUGUCAGAAGAAACAAAAUCCCUGAGCAGCCCAGCAUAGCUUGAAAUGUGGUCCUAAUGCUGUUUUAUGUGGGGACUUCGUUAUUUCUCCGUCACCAGAACCGAUUGCAGUGACACCUCUGGAGCUGGGCAGACCUCACCCUGUGCCAAAUUCCUUUCUGCUGAGGCAUGCCAGCAGCCCACCCCGAGCUCCAGAUGUUCCUGCUCUCUGAGAGCUUAAUAAACCAGGCUCACCCUUCCUCCUGGGGUGAACCCAAAGACAGUCAGAUAUGGAAAAAUCACUGCUCAGUACUAUGAACAAUGUACUUGGUCAAAGAGCAGCGCCAGCACUUUGUCUUAAUAGAAAAGAAAGCCGAGGCACAGUGCAAAAAUCUGAGCUGGCAGCAGCUGUUGACUUAAACAUACAUUGAAAACUAUACAUGAAAGACCACACUUAAAACAAGAGAAAAAGCCUGGAAGUAUAUUUAGAAAAACUGAAAAACAGCAUGAAUAUGGGAAAAAGAAAGUUUCUGUGUGGCUUUAAUAGGCUGCAUUUUUCCCAGUCUGUAUUUCACUUGAGUUUGUUCUAUUGGUUUAUCAUGAGCACAUGCACUACAAAAACACACAUGUGCACAGGGCUGCAAAAAAAUCUCUCUUGUUUUGCACACGCAGAACCCGAUGUUACCAUUGCCCAGAAGUGCUGGAGCUCUGUUCCUAUACGCUUUUGGUCAUCACUGAGGGUUUGGGCAGAACUGAGUGUUAGACAGACCAUGGAUAUUUAUGUUCACAGCCUUGUGUGUUCACAACAUAGCUGAGUGGCUCUACUGCUGGCUUGUUGUCUUCUUCUCUGCUUUGUUUUGCUAUCCUCCUCCUCCCACCUUUCACAAAUUAGGAGACUUUCUUCCUCACGAAAACCUGGAGAGUCAGUGUCCCCACUUUGCUGGGGCAGGGUGACUCAAGACUGAUGUAGUAACUUACUGAAAAUCACACUGGGAAAGUGUACCAAAGCCAAGAAGUGCACCCAGGAUCUCACAUCCUGCCCUUGCACAGCCGUGCUGAGCCCUCUCCACACCAGGCUUCAUGUUGCCCAGUCCUGCUUCAGGUCCCAGCCUGGCUCGAGGCACUAAAGUGUUGCUCUCAGCCAGGCUGGCAAGUGCUUUUGGCACCCUUCAUCGUAGGGAAGUCAUCAGACAUUGAAACAAAUGGACUCCUCGUUGCUGGGAUGGUGACCAAGAUCGGAAGGGAGUGUAGGGGACAUCAGUCCGGAUCCAGGCAUUGUGUCCUUGGGUGUGAUACCCUGCAGACAUAGAGUGACAACAUUUGUCCUACGAAGAAUCUCAUUAGCUACUAGGGCUUGAUUUUUGGUGAGCUGCUACUCAGUGGAAGGCGCUGGAAUCUGGCUUCUAAUAACCUUCCUCCAUCCAAUUGCUUCCUCCCUGAAGCUGCAGGAGCCUUUCUGCACCCCCAUUCUGCAUGGUCCAGCCCCGGUCCUGGGAGACCAAUGCUGUGCGCAUCCCGAGCUCGGCACCAGCCCGUAAAUCUCUCUGCUGGAUCCAGGCAGUGAAAUGUGAACAAAGGAAACCACCAUGCGGUGGGGGGGUAGGGUGGGGAAUUGCUCUGGCACCCUCCUUGCUCGGAUAGAAGUGAGAAAACAUGGCUUUGUGUCGCUGUUGUUGUAGUUGUUGUUUUAUGGUUUCUACAGAUGCUUCCAAUAAAAGCAUUGUGAAACUAUUCCCAUCAGUGGCCUGUCCUCUACCCGCAUUAGUGACGGAGGAGAUUGCUGGGUUUCCAUCAGUGGAACAAUUCAAGUGUGGACUGUACUGCUAUAAAUUUAAGAAAGCUCUCCAUUUGCUGCUUGCCAAAAAAACAG